rnacentral:rRNA from 1 species
GACGAACGCUGGCGGCGUGCUUAACACAUGCAAGUCGAACGGAAAGGCCCUGCUUUUGUGGGGUGCUCGAGUGGCGAACGGGUGAGUAACACGUGAGUAACCUGCCCUUGACUUUGGGAUAACUUCAGGAAACUGGGGCUAAUACCGGAUAGGAGCUCCUGCUGCAUGGUGGGGGUUGGAAAGUUUCUGCGGUUGGGGAUGGACUCGCGGCUUAUCAGCUUGUUGGUGGGGUAGUGGCUUACCAAGGCUUUGACGGGUAGCCGGCCUGAGAGGGUGACCGGCCAAAUUGGGACGGAGAUACGGCCCAGACUCCUACGGGAGGCAGCAGUGGGGAAUAUUGCAAAAUGGGCGGAAGCCUGAUGCAGCAACGCCGCGUGCGGGAUGACGGCCUUCGGGUUGUAAACCGCUUUCGCCUGGGAAGAAGCGUGAGUGACGGUAAUGGGUAAAGAAGCACCGGCUAACUACGUG